rnacentral:rRNA from 1 species
UACGGAGGGUGCAAGCGUUGUCCGGAUUCACUGGGUGUAAAGGGUGUGUAGGCGGAGCAGCAAGUCAGUGGUGAAAGCCUGCGGCUUAACCGUAGAAUUGCCAUAGAUACUGCUGUUCUUGAGUACUGGAGAGACUGCUAGAAUUCGUGGUGUAGCGGUGAAAUGCGUAGAUAUCACGAGGAAUACCAAAGGCGUAGGCGGGUAGCUGGACAGAUACUGAAGCUGAGGCACGAAAGCGUGGGGAGCAAACAGG